UACGUAGGGGGCUAGCGUUGUCCGGAUUUAUUGGGCGUAAAGAGCGUGUAGGCGGCCAGAUAGGUCUGCUGUGAAAACUCGAGGCUCAACCUCGAGCUGUCGGCGGAAACCAUUUGGCUAGAGUCCGGAAGAGGAGAGUGGAAUUCCUGGUGUAGCGGUGAAAUGCGUAGAUAUCUGGAGGAACACCGGUGGCGAAGGCGGCAUCCUGGACCGGUAUUGACGCUGAGGCGCGAAAGCCAGGGGAGCAAACGGG
rnacentral:rRNA from 1 species